rnacentral:rRNA from 1 species
UACGUAGGGUGCAAGCGUUGUCCGGAAUUAUUGGGCGUAAAGAGCUCGUAGGCGGUCUGUCGCGUCGGCUGUGAAAUCCCGAGGCUCAACCUCGGGUCUGCAGUCGAUACGGGCAAACUAGAGUAUUGCAGGGGAGACUGGAAUUCCAGGUGUAGCGGUGAAAUGCGUAGAUAUCUGGAGGAACACCGGUGGCGAAGGCGGGUCUCUGGGCCGAUACUGACGCUGAGGAGCGAAAGCGUGGGGAGCGAACAGG